AAAGUCGUAACAAGGUCUCCGUUGGUGAACCAGCGGAGGGAUCAUUACCGAGUUUACAACUCCCAAACCCCUGUGAACAUACCUACGUUGCUUCGGCGGACCACCCCACCCCCCUCGGGGCGAGGGGCCGCCAGAGGACCCAAAACCCAACUGUUUUUUCCGUAACGAAACCUAUUCUGAGUGGAAUUAUUAAAUAAAUCAAAACUUUCAACAACGGAUCUCUUGGCUCUG
rnacentral:misc_RNA from 1 species